rnacentral:rRNA from 1 species
GACGAACGCUGGCGGCGUGCUUAACACAUGCAAGUCGAGCGGUAAGGCCCUUCGGGGGUACGCGAGCGGCGAACGGGUGAGUAACACGUGGGUGACCUGCCCUCAGCUUUGGGAUAAGCCUGGGAAACCGGGUCUAAUACUGGAUAUGACUCCAUGACGCAUGUUGUGGGGUGAAAGCCUUGUGCGGCUGAGGAUGGGCCCGCGGCCUAUCAGCUUGUUGGUGGGGUGANGGCCUACCAAGGCGACGACGGGUAGCCGGCCUGAGAGGGCGACCGGCCACACUGGGACUGAGACACGGCCCAGACUCCUACGGGAGGCAGCAGUGGGGAAUCUUGCGCAAUGGGCGAAAGCCUGACGCAGCGACGCCGCGUG